rnacentral:misc_RNA from 1 species
UCAUUGAAGCACAAGCGCGCUUCCCUCACUCCUUGCCUUCGCGCCACCUGAGCCCUCCCUUGAAGUCUUCUGCGUGUGCCGCCACAGGAGAGGGGGCAGCGUAGCGUCCCUUUAUUUCUUUUUGUGUUUCCGGCCCGAGCACACGUGUACACACGCGCACACAAGUUCUAUCCGUCUGAUCCCCUCCCCUGCGCACACAUACGCAGACCAGCCUCGAUGUGCGCAUGCGUGUUUACUUCAUCAAAUGCCGCGGAUCCAGCUGCAGUCCGUCAACCACUUUUCUGCAUGGCUGCACAAUGAGAUCUUGACCGAGGUGCCAUUCGGCCUGUCCCUGCGGCUGCGUCCUCUAACGAUGCAGGCGUCCACAGCUGUCUCAGGGGACGGAUUUGUGUUGGCGAGACCUCACGUAGGACACUUAAUUGCAUCUUUGACCGCAGAGACGUCGCGGCUGCCAGCAGCGCUUGCGACCGACGACGGCGGCGCAGCAGAGGCUGUAGAGCAGGAGGCUGCAGAGGUGUCACGCUCCCUGUCGGGGCGCGUCCCUUCCACCAUCGACUGGUACGCGUUUUUUCUGAAAACGUUGCUGCACCUCACCAGCACAAACGGGUCUCAUCUUCGCUGCACCGGUGCAUCUUCCUCGCCAUCUUCUCCGACGUGCGUUGUGGCAGCGACGGACGGGGUGGGCCGCAAGACCGCUCUCUACGCAGCGAUGCUGUCGCACUGCGCGGAGUGGUGGGACGCUGGCAGGGCGAUGCGGUCCACCAGCGCACUUCUCUGGCACCACAGCCCGCCAAUGCAACGGGCAGUGUCGCUGCGCAGGCCGUUUGUCUUCUUCGAUGAGACGUCAGAGGCAGCGGGACGUCUCGCCGACCCAUCGAGACUUAGCGGAAGAGACAGCGCCGAUGUCGGCGCCCGCCGACGCUUGCUGCGCGUACUGCGCCUCCUCAGCGCUCGCGGGGGCUGGCAGCUCUGUGUGCGGCGCUCUCCCCGCGGCGGCGCUGCUCGCGCCGUUAGCACCACCUCUUCUACGCUGCUGCAUCAGGAGGAUGAGGAGUCGGUGUACGUGGACUGGCUCGACUACCUCACAGAGCGAUGCGUGGAAGUGGACUUGCGGCCAGCUGGAGAUUACGAUGACUUUGAGUCUCUGCUGCGAGGCACCGCAUCACACGUGUGGCUCGGCAGUAGCUCCACGGCCCACUCCACACCCAUCACCACAUCGUCAGCGCGCACGAGGAGUUGCGGCUGCGCGGGCGGCGGAAAUACCGGCUUCGCGUGCGCCGUGCCCGAUGCCUUUGUCCCUCUUAGCGCUGUGCUGUGGCACGUUCUGUCCACCGAGGUGGAAGGCACUGUACUGGAAACCUUGCACGGACUGCUGCGCCAGUAUCUGUGCUGGCCCUUUCUUGCUCCCCCUGACCGCGCCGGAGAUCCGUUGACGACGCGCAGGGGUGACGUGACCAGCAUCUUGGGGUACGCAUACCACGCGCUGCAGACGCUGGUUCACACACCAGAGCAGGCGUUUGCAUGUGAGUUGAUGCACUUUGACCGGAAUGGCGCCGCUUCCAGCACGGCGUCAGCGCUGCCGCCGCCCCUGGCAGGCCCCGUCACGCUCUCCUGCAUGAUGCCCAACAGCUUUUGUCUCGCACCACUCGCCUGCGACAGCGCUGCCUCGCGCUUCUUCCUUCAAGGACCCCCUGCGUCGGUGGCGCCUGACGGCAUGGUACUGCGUCGGCAUCCACUUCGUGUGUUGCUGCUGCGCGUCGACCCAGAAGGCGGCUGGCUGCCAUCGCCAGAGACGUUGGCCAGCCAGCGCACGCUCCACGCCUCAUUUGAUGCACAGAGGGGCGAAGCGUGUGACGGCGACGAAGGUUGUGAAGAUGACGACAACGAGAUGGACGACGACUUUGCAUUAUGGGAGGCCCGUGGAGCAGGCAAACGGACUGUGGCGCGCCCGGGCGCAGUUGCGCCUGGACAGAGAACGGCUGUCACCUCGCUGCCAUCGCCCUCCCUUUGUGCGGAUCGCUCCCCCACAGAGGAUCGAGUGGUAUCUAUGCUGACGGCGCAUGUCAUCCGUAGGGGGCCCUUCGCGCAAGCGGUCACGUCGACCCGCAACCUUGAUCAAUGCCUCUGGCUUGCUGCAAUACGGCUGUUUGUCUACGCACUCCUCCACGACGUGCGUGUGGUUGUCACCCCGGAGAGACUGCCCACCUUUGUGAAGGUGUUCGGCUACCGCCACCUUCCUCAGCUGCACCAGCGACUCUGCGAGAUUCGAGGGGCGCUGAGGGAAGCUGCAGCAGACGACGGUACCUUGUUGUUCUUUGAAGACGCCGCCGACGCCGUCACGAGAGCUGCUGCGGUUUCGCUGCUGGACGCGGCGUGCCAGCGUGAGCCGCCGAUUGCCGUGUACGUUGUGGACCAGGUCUCCCUGAGCGGCUUCUCGAGGCUUCAAGCGAGGAGCAGGGUUUCGGAGACGACCAGCGCUGAUCGUGUUGUACCCUCGGCGCCCUCUUCUCUGCCGCUCCCCCCGGUAGUGUUGUGCUGCGAUGUGCUGCGCCAUCCGUGCAGCUUCGACGAAGCAUGCGGCUCGAGUCGACCUAGCGGCAUCUGUGAGGUUGCUCACUGCGGGGUGCUCGACGUGAUAGAGCUGUGCCAUAUUUCUGCCCUCUUGCUGCAGUCGCAACACUCCCCAUGCUCUGCAGAGAAGUUCGCGGUGAGGUGCGCUGCAGUGGUUGCCUCGGAAGAAGGGGGCGAGUCCCGGCUGUACGACGGCCGUGUGUUCAUUGCGGCGCUGCACCCUAUAGUCACACCUUCUUUGACCGAUGCAGAUGAUCGCUUCCGCACACAAACUGGUGAGCGGGGUGCGGAUCCCCGAGCAAGAUGCGGCGCCGACGCGGACGCCUGGAACGCUGCGGUUGACGAGUCAGAGCUGUGGCAGCCGCUGCUACCUUCUCUUCUUCUCUUGGCUCCGAUUCAGCAGCAGACCAUGCUGUACGGGGGACUGCUACGCAAGGCGGCCUUGGCACUGCUGGAGGCGCUACCGAGCCCUUGUACAAGUGAGACCGAUAUAUCGACUUCUAUGCGAGACACAACUCGCACUGCCCGUACAAGUAUUCCCGGUGCCGUUCGCGGCGGCGGCGCUUUCUUCGUGUCUCUGGCGAGACAGGCACGGUGGUUAAUGCGGCGGCUCUCGCUGUCGCCGGCCUGUGCCGAUGCCGCGGCGACGCUCGCAGGUGUGGGCGUCGCGGGUUCGAGACCUUUCGCAUCCCCUGAAGCCGUUUCCUGGGGCAUCGGCGUUGCUCCGCAGGACCACGCCACAAUACGCUUCGUGCUGGCAAUCCUGUGCGAGUCGUGUGCAGCGAUGGUGACUCGACUAGCGGAGCCGCUGAUUGAGAGGAGCGCCGCAUCGGGACUUGCAUUGUCUCCACUGUGCAGUGCCCGAACCUCUCCGCCUCCUCGUGGACCGCAUGCCCGACGGCGAUUGUGGGUCGAGGCCCUCCGCGCUGCUGUCGAGUCAUCUUCGACGGUACCCGGCCAACCUGUGCUGCACGCCUACCACGAAAACGUGGACGUGAUGCUCUCGGAAGCGGCGAACGGCACUGUUUUCGACGCGUGCCUUGGCGCGCCAACGCUACACGAGCGCGCUAUGCAGUGGUUUGCCUCUGACCGCCGGCUCUCCUCCUCCACUUCACAAUCCGGCGCGAACGACGACGCUUGCGUGCACCGUGGCGGCUGCGCCACGGAGCCGCCAUUGCCCACCCAUCUUUUUCUGGAGCCUCUGCACACAAACGCGCGCGCCGUGCGGGAAGCUGUCGCGCUCGUGCUGCGUACGCUCUCUGCUACCGUACCCUAAUACUACUUGGUUUGCAUGCCGGCGCGAGCGUGGAACCUUGAGUAAGGCGAGAAGAGCUCGCGCACAG